rnacentral:rRNA from 2 species
UAGGGAAUCUUCGGCAAUGGGGGGAACCCUGACCGAGCAACGCCGCGUGAGUGAAGAAGGUUUUCGGAUCGUAAAGCUCUGUUGUUAAGGAAGAACGAGUGUGAGAAUGGAAAGUUCAUGCUGUGACGGUACUUAACCAGAAAGGGACGGCUAACUACGUGCCAGCAGCCGCGGUAAUACGUAGGUCCCGAGCGUUGUCCGGAUUUAUUGGGCGUAAAGCGAGCGCAGGCGGUUAGAAAAGUCUGAAGUGAAAGGCAGUGGCUCAACCAUUGUAGGCUUUGGAAACUGUUUAACUUGAGUGCAGAAGGGGAGAGUGGAAUUCCAUGUGUAGAGGUGAAAUGCGUAGAUAUAUGGAGGAACACCGGUGGCGAAAGCGGCUCUCUGGUCUGUAACUGACGCUGAGGCUCGAAAGCGUGGGGAGCGAACAGG